rnacentral:rRNA from 1 species
GCACAAGCGGUGGAGUAUGUGGUUUAAUUCGAUGCAACGCGAAGAACCUUACUGGUCUUGACACCCGGAGACCCUUAGGAAACUAGGGGGUGCUUCCAUCUGGAAGAAUCUGGAGACAGGUGCUGCAUGGCUGUCGUCAGCUCGUGUCGUGAGAUGUUGGGUUAAGUCCCGCAACGAGCGCAGCCCUUGCCUUUAGUUGCCAGCAGUUCGGCUGGGCACUCUAAAGGGACUGCCGGUGUUAAACCGGAGGAAGGUGGGGAUGACGUCAAGUCCUCAUGGCCUUUAUGACCAGGGCUACACACGUACUACAAUGGCCGAUACAAAGGGCAGCGACACUGCGAGGUGAAGCCAAUCCCGUAAAAUCGGUCUCAGUCCGGAUUGGAGUCUGCAACUCGACUCCAUGAAGUUGGAAUCGCUAGUAAUCGUGGAUCAGCAUGCCACGGUGAAUACGUUCCCGGGCCUU